GAAUCCCCUGGGCUUGGUUUAUAUCUUCCAGGAAGCAUUGAUUUUCGUCAUAUGACCAUUGUGCUUUGCAGUGUUGAUUGGUUGAACUGAAUGUAGAUUCAAUGGUAAAUUUUAAAAUCAGAUAAUUCAAUCCUCUGAUAUAGUGAUUCCAAUUAUACUACGGCAUAGUGUAACGGUAUGUUGUCGAAAUCACUUAUGUACCGGGAAAAUAUAAUUCCAAGCUGGUGAGAAUAUUACCACUGAGGGGGGUUAUGAGCCCAGUCAGACCCUUGAUGGGACAAUAAUGUGGGAUAGUAUAUGGGAAUACCAUUGAAGGUGGUAAUAAUCUCCGAGGCUUAUGAAAUCCGACAGGGCGCGUGCAUUAGGCUGCGGAUCUAUGCUAAGGGAGAUCAGUAGCAUCUGUUUGUUAUUAGUAGAACAAAAUGCCGUUCUAUGAAAACGCAGUGUGAGUGAUCUCCUAUGGUGCUGAAGUACUAUAAAUAAUCUCAUUCUCUGUGAAUUCUAACUUUGGCUAUCUAGUCAGUAAAUAGUAAAAUUAUUAAGAUAGCUUAAGAGCUAAGCCUUAAAAGCAUACAUUUUCUAAAUAUGACAAGGUUUUGAAGACAAACAUGAGAUGAGUAUCAGAUUUUAAUCUUUUAAUGAGUCAUUAGCAUAAUCGUAUGUGAGACAUAGGGUCAUGUCGAGCAAUUGAUUCAGUACUACAAAUCCACGCGGACAAUUUCAUUACAAACUAUUGGUUUUCGGCAGUCUUAUGACGGAAAGGCUCAGCUAUGCUGCAAAUCCAUAUAUUAGAGUCCGUUCGUAAACAUAUAGACCGAUCCCUCAUAAAAUUUUGUCCAUGCAAAACCAAAAUUGCAUGAAGUUACAACUUUGCCUCUCCUCAUGAAGUAUAUGUGAUUUAUGAACGAACUCCUAGUUGAAUCAAAUUAAUGGAUUUUUAUUUCUGGGGCACCCAUUGGGUAUAUCACUUCAAUAAUACAAAUACCGCUAACUCUUCUGUAGUUUUCUGUAGUUACACUAUCCAUUUGAAGAUGUAUAGUAAUUAGUAGUAUUUCAUAUAACCAAUAUCUAUAUAACUUCUUCGAUCCUCUUUGUAAGAUUUGGUAGAUAGUAUGACAGCAUUGAUUGAAACACGAGAGCUCUUUUAUCAUGUUAUUAUUCGCAUGAUUAAUUAUUUUAUGAACAAUAAUUUUAUUGACGAAUCCGAUUUAAACUAUUUGAAUAGUGAUUUUUGUUAAGCCAUAUUAAAAUAAUCACUAUCAUUAUCAAUGAAUGCUAUCCACUCAAGAUCUUCGCUACAUUAAAUUUUGAAUUACUGGAGGCUUCACUUAUUAACAAAUUUACAACAAACACGCUAUAACAGUAUCUAGAGAAUCGUGGAGGGUGAGUAACCUGAACUAGUAGCACUAUUCAUAUAUAUUAACAAUUAUAGGGUAGAAGCUUCAGUUUUGGCCAGCCCGGAGUUUUGGCCAUAGUGCGGUAUUCAGCCUGUAACGAUCUAAAUUGGCAUAAAUUUAUUUUUUACUAGUAGAUUCUAAUAUAAUAAUAUGAUUGCAGCUGUUAAAACCAUACAUUUAGAUUAAAAACUUGAAGAAAAAAAUAAUUGUCCUUAAAAAAUCAGCUCCCAUACAUCUAUUUUGGCCAGGGUGCUUCUAAUUUGGCCACUCCCAUAAGAAAUACACGUGAUUGGCCAAAAUAGAAACCAAAGCUGAGAAUAUGGCCAUAACUGCGGCAAGGCUUCUAUUUUGGCCAGUGCCACUUUUAAUACAUAAAUCAAGUAUUAGCUUGAUUUCUGCAUUUUUCUAAUAAAGUAUAGAUCGAAACCUUUCAUUUAACACAUUGAUAGUUUUCAUUGGAUUAUUGGUUAUUUUUAUAAAAAUGAUUUCCCUUAGAUUGGCCAAAACCGGUGCCCGCACCCUACUCUA